rnacentral:rRNA from 1 species
AUACGUAGGGGGCGAGCGUUGUCCGGAAUGAUUGGGCGUAAAGGGCGCGUAGGCGGCGCGGUAAGUCUGGAGUGAAAGUCCUGCUUUCAAGGUGGGAAUUGCUUUGGAUACUGCCGCGCUUGAGUGCAGGAGAGGUUAUCGGAAUUCCCGGUGUAGCGGUGAAAUGCGUAGAGAUCGGGAGGAACACCAGUGGCGAAGGCGGGUAACUGGACUGCAACUGACGCUGAGGCGCGAAAGUGUGGGGAGCAAACAGGAUUAGAUACCCUGGUAGUCCACACUGUAAACGAUGAAUGCUAGGUGUAAGAGGUAUCGACCCCUUUUGUGCCGGAGUCAACACAAUAAGCAUUCCGCCUGGGGAGUACGGCCGCAAGGUUGGAACUCAAAGGAAUUGACGGGG